rnacentral:lncRNA from 1 species
GCUGAUUCACACGGGCGACAAUUGUCGCUCGACAGUGCGCUCCAGCGACAGGACAUGAUUGUCGUCGGCGUCACUCGCCGCCGAACCAGUUCACAUAGGCGCCGACGACAACCAAUCAGCAAUCGCUCUAGAGCGCAUCACAAAUUGCGAAACGAAAGUUGACAUAAGAUCGUCCCUGUCACAGAUAGGUAACUAAUCUGUGGUCCCUGUUGGAUAUUAUUUUCAAAGAAAUGGACAGACAAAUCAAAUUAAGAAAACUUCGCUUGUUACACCAAAUGAAUUUGGCUGUGACAUCCGAUGAAAUUUCCAUCGAAUUUUACACUCGGUUUACUAAAAAAAAUUGAAAUACUGAAUAGCAAUGAAGUAAAGUUCAACUUGGACUUGAAAUUUCACUUCAAUUUUACCUUUCCUUCCACACACAAUCGCUAUUUCUUCCCAUGCUGAUUCCUUUUUUAAUUUGUCUCGAUACAAUUUUGAUGUCUCAUCAUACAAAAAUCUUCUUUUCCUCACUCCUUCAAUCAGCACUUCAAACGAAUCGGCCAUGUAUGAACACACGUGACUGCAACCAGCGUGUGAUUGGUUGCCGCUGUCUGUCGUUGCCGCUCAAGUAUAGCACGGUCAAACUCGGACGCCAAAUACAACGACAGGGGGUUUUUGAAAUAACUGGAACAGCCGCCGACAAAAUUUGAUCUUGGUGCGCACUGUUGAGUGACAAUUGCCGCCCAUGUGAAUCAGCCUUUAGGCAUAACCAAUAUUGCCUAAA